UCUUCAGAGGUUGGCCGUCCAAGGUCUCCAACUGCACCAAGUUGUUGUCUCCAACCUCAGUCACCCUAAAGAAGACAUGCUAUAAUGGCAAAACUGGACAUCACUACCUUCUCAUUCUGACUACUGUUAAGUCUAUUUACCGGUACUUCGUUGGCCAGUCUGGAUCCAUGGUGCGUCCAGGUCUCCCACGCUUCCUCUCGUCCUUCUUCAACACCUCCAUGCCUCGGAGGACUUUGAAGCGCUUGGUCCCCUUCUUGGUCCUCCUCCGGUAGGCCUCCUGCUGUUUCUCCUGGGCCAUCUCCACGUUGAGUCGCACCUUGACCGUUCAAGAGAAAGGAAAGCAGCUAAGCUUUAUAUUGUCUGUUUUAUAACUUUGUGUCUGAUGCAUUGUUAUUACGCUAACAAUUACUUAGCAUCACUCAGAUGGGUGAUACACAUUGGUGUUACGGAAACUGAGUGCACCUUGUGGUGAAAGCUACAGUGCACAGUUGUGUAAUAUGUGAUGUAACGUUAGGUCAUUUCUCUCACCUUGUCGAAAACCACAUCAUCAUUGUUGGCCCUGGUCUGGAGGUAGUCUUCGAAGGCGCCGUCACCAGGCCCGUCAACCUCAAGCUCAUGAGGAAGGUCACCUGUGAUCUGAAAUGACAUGAUAAUACAGAACAUGCAGCAGAUAGUUGCGUGAAAUUACCUUCAGGUUAUCCUCCCACCGUUCUUGAUGCCCAUCCAGAGUCUUCCCGAUGGCCCUCUUCAGCAUGUGGUUGGUCCUCUCAUCCAGUCCGUUAGUCUGGGGAUGGUAGGCAGACGUGAUCCGAUGCUUUGCCCCCCACUUCUCGAUCAAGAUCUGGUUAACCUAAAUAAAACUCUGUGCCCUGGUCCAUCAGGAUGACCCCUGGUGCGCCAUGGGUGUGGAAGAUGACAAGAGCAGACUGCAGCGUAUCAUCCGCACUGCUGAGAAGGUGAUUGGCUGCAAUCUGCCUACCCUCGAGGACCUGCACACCUCGAGGACCCUGAGGCGAGCGAGGAAGAUUGUGGCCGACUCCUCCCACCCUGGACACUCCCUGUUUCAGUCACUCCCCUCCGGCAGAAGGCUGCGGUCCAUCAGGACCAAUACCUCACGCCACAAAAACAGUUUCUUCCCUUCCGCUGUUGGCCUCUUCAACAAGGCCAAGGGACCAC